rnacentral:lncRNA from 1 species
AUGCUUCAGAACUAUAAUGUACCUGGAAGAAUCUACCUAUGUGACUGUCAAGCUCAUGACUUUGAAACCAAGGAAACAGAAAAAAUGAGGACAGAGACAACGAAUAAACAUUGCCUGAACAUGGCAGUCAAAGAAGAAUAUGUAAAUUGUGCCAAUUCUCUUUGUACAUUGACAGAAAAUCCCAGGGGCUUUUCACUGUUCUUCUGAUUAUGGAGAUGGCCAUAACAAAAUGCAACAACCUAUGGAGAAUGCAGUCCUGCACGUCAUUUCUCCUCUGGGCUCCUGGAACAAGAUAGGAGAGGACUGUGCUGUAAACCCAGGGAAAACACCACUAGAGGCAGAACAAGCUUCUUCUUCCCAAGAGAUUCAAGUGUAGCUCUGCUAAUUGCAGCCAUGGUAUGACCAUGCAUGUACAAAAACACAUCUGAAUGGAAAUCCAUAUUUUCCAGCCAGGAACACACAAAUGUUGCAGUGGGACAUCUGGAAUCAUUAGCAAUGCUGGAGUUUUCCUGACUGCAGAAAAUCUUUGUCCUACCUACAGGGAAAGUCCUCGCAUUCCCUGAUACACUUACUUGGCUACGCUUCCACUGUGCAUUUGUCCCACAUUAAUUAAUAUGGUCCUUUCCUGAGUAACUGCAGGGCUAAUCAGAGCAUGCAGUGGGAGGCUAAAACACAGACUGUGUCUGCAGACAGAAAGAUUAAAGCUGCCCAGCAUUACUUACUACAAGAUAAAGUUAUCUGUGUUUUGCUGUGAAAGCAAGGGAAGAAACCUCGUCACAGACCAAAGCUCACUGAUUUUUCUGGCUCCCAUAAGCCAUCAGCAAGAUGCCUUCCACAGAAUGGAAUAAUCUGGGAUAACUUUUCCCCCACAUUCACAGCAGAAAUGCAGUCUACUACAUCAGUCUCUUCCAGCUUGUUCUAUGUCCUUUCACUGUAGAUGUCUGAUAUAUAAAAAGAGUCAUGGCUUUCCUCCUAGAUACGAGGCAUGUUCUUCAGUGGCUGUGGUUUCACUCUUCUUUUCUGUACUUGAGAGCUGUAUUUUCUCUGUAUCUCGGUGUUCCAGCUGCCCAGAUAACAAGCAGCCAUGCUUUCACGUGGUUUUGUUGCUGUAGUUUGAAGCCCGUAUGAAAACAAACUGAUUCUGGGUUGAUUUUCUGUAUGAACGAUGAAAAAUUACAGUACAGACAAUGCACCAUUUAUGUUAGCU